UACGUAGGGGGCAAGCGUUGUCCGGAAUCAUUGGGCGUAAAGCGCGUGUAGGCGGCUCGAUAAGUCCGCUGUGAAAGUCCAGGGCUCAACCCUGGAAUGCCGGUGGAUACUGUCGGGCUAGAGUGCGGAAGAGGCGAGUGGAAUUCCUGGUGUAGCGGUGAAAUGCGCAGAUAUCAGGAGGAACACCAAUUGCGAAGGCAGCUCGCUGGGACGUUACUGACGCUGAGACGCGAAAGCGUGGGGAGCAAACAGG
rnacentral:rRNA from 1 species